AGAGUUUGAUCCUGGCUCAGAGCGAACGCUGGCGGCAGGCCUAACACAUGCAAGUCGAACGGACCCUUCGGGGUUAGUGGCGGACGGGUGAGUAACACGUGGGAACGUGCCUUUAGGUUCGGAAUAGCUCCUGGAAACGGGUGGUAAUGCCGAAUGUGCCCUUCGGGGGAAAGAUUUAUCGCCUUUAGAGCGGCCCGCGUCUGAUUAGCUUGUUGGUGAGGUAAUGGCUCACCAAGGCGACGAUCAGUAGCUGGUCUGAGAGGAUGACCAGCCACAUUGGGACUGAGACACGGCCCAAACUCCUACGGGAGGCAGCAGUGGGGAAUCUUGCGCAAUGGGCGAAAGCCUGACGCAGCCAUGCCGCGUGGAUGAUGAAGGUCUUAGGAUUGUAAAAUCCUUUCAUCCGGUGAAGAUAAGGGAC
rnacentral:rRNA from 1 species